CCUACGGGAGGCAGCAGUGGGGAAUAUUGCACAAUGGGGGAAAUCCUGAUGCAGCGACGCCGCGUGAGUGAAGAAGUAUCUCGGUAUGUAAAGCCCUAUCUGUAGGGAAGAAAAUGACGGUACCUGUCUAAGAAGCCCCGGCUAACUACGUGCCAACAGCCGCGGUAACACGGCGGGGGCAAGCGUUAUCCGGAUUUACUGGGUGUAAAGGGAGCGUAGACGGGGCUGCAAGUCCGGAGUGAAAUCCCAUGGCUUAACCAUGGUACUGCUCUUGAAACUGUAGAGCUUGAGUGCGGGAGGGGCAGGCGGAAUGCCUGGUGUAGCGGUGAAAUGCGUAGAUAUUAGGAGGAACACCGACGGCGAAGGCAGCCUGCUGGACCGUAACUGACGUUGAGGCUCGAAAGCGUGGGGAGCGAACAGGAUUAGAUACCCGUGUAGUC
rnacentral:rRNA from 1 species